CACUUCCUCUCUUGGUUCCCUCUGUGUGUCCCUGCAUUCCUCUCAUCCCCUCGGAGUUCCAUCACUCCUGCCCUUCUGAUCCACCCCAUUCCAGACAGACAGCUUCCGUGAGGUACUGGCAAUGUUGGGGUGGCUGUGCUGUGCGUAUCCCCACUGACCAUCUUCUGUGUAUUUGCAGCCAGCUCCAUCUUCACACUGCAGAAUAUCCAGCUGCAGAAGGAUCCGGGCUAUCGGAAUGUGUACUUCGACUCAGCGAUGAAGAGCAAGAGCAGGACCUGAGUGGCUUUUAUACCAUAGACCAGCCCCUUUCAGCUUUCAGGAAGGACAGAUGUCAGAGCAUGUUGUUUCAAUUCAAUAGACACCCCCCCAGAUUGUGAGAGUGAGCGGCGACCAGCUCGACACAGCUAGCGAAGGAUGUGUGCUCCAGUCAUAGCUGAGCUGGUCGUGACCAACCGAUCGCUCACCGUGUGUGAGAGAGCUGACAGAGAAGUGCUGCUCGCUUGUAAACUGCACUGGCAAUUGCACUGCUUUCACCAAUCAGGCCCGAGCCAUCAAAGAGGAAAAGCCAAAAACAAAAAGCCAAGUCCAGUCACUGGCUCGAACACCGCUGCUAACGCGCUAUUUUGAUCAAGGGUGGUGCGCGCCUCGAUCAGCAAUUCACAGACCGCCGCUAACAGCGCCCCUCAGUCUUGCCCAGUGGCUGUCAGUGGGACCCAUCUUCAAAACAAUGGCAAGACCAUCAAGAGGAAUCCCAUCAAAUGUUGAAACAUUGUGAGGUAUUCCAACUCUCAGUGCGUUUGUAAGACCACUUCAUGGCCUCUGAGCCCAGCCUGGUCAAUAUAAAACCCCAAGCGUUAGGGGUCCAGCUUUCCCGCCUGCCUUCAGUGCGAUCGGGGCAGACCGAACCAAAAGUAAUAGAUCAGUGAUAUUAAAUGUGAGCAGUGUCUCCACAAAGAUCAUUGACCAGAAAGUUUAACCAGACUGAAUAUUAAAUGUCAUUAGACCAUGUGCUGCCCAGUUCACACACUGAGGGUUCAACCAAGUACUCCGCUUCUGCAAGGAGAGAUACAUGGCCUUACCUUUUAAGCAACACUGCAGUGAAUUACCACCACUCCGAUGGCAUGUUUCUGGGCCCAGUUCUUCGAGGUAUUUGCAGACGUUUGAAGCCAGGUUCCUGAUAGGUGCAGCAGUUGGCUUCCUCAUGAAUAAGACUUCCUUUUGGUGAUGAACAAUUUCCUCAUGUAACGUCAAAAUACCAAACUGCAAUAAAGACCAAGGGACAAAGAAA